UGUGUUUAUCUGUCCGUGUCGAUCAUCUACAGUUUCGUAACCAAACUAGCCAACGAUAUAAUGGGUUGGAAGUUAAAUCAUAUUCAGAACCGAAAAUGAAAGAACACAUAUCGCAUCUUACCAUAAUAGCUGCGUUGGUUCUAACACAGAUUUCGAGUUACGUGGCUUUGGACUGCUACAACUGCCGUGGCGUUCACGAUAUAAGGGACUGCAAUGUAACUACAUCAUGUGGGGCGAAUCAGGAAAGUCUUGAUUAUAACGUUUAUUACCCGUUUUAUGACAAAACCUAAUUUGAACUUGUUUGUUAACCUGUGUAAUAAAAACACAGGAAAUGGUUAACUUAAUAUUGUAAAGAAGAACGCUGAUUAAAGUUUGUAGAUUUCUUAUAAAGCAUAGUGCCAACAUAUGAAUAUAUUUUAUAUGAACAUCCAGACAACAUGGGUUCUAAAAUGACCAUGCAGAAGUAAAAUAAGACUUAAACCCCAAUUUUGUUUUUAAUUUAUUGUAAUUAAAUAUGUAUAUGUACAUUUGCUGUAAAUAAAUGGACGAAGAAAUACCACUUAUGCCUAAUCACAUUCGUCGUAUUCAAAUUACACAAUUGUAUACAAUAAAACGCUUUCGAAAUAUUUAUAACGAUGAAUAAUAUAUUUAUUUAAUUUUGUUACAGUAUUUUAAACACUACUUGUAUUUGUUGGAGGAUAGCAAUAAAACUUACAUGUAUAGUACUAGAAUAAUAAUAUUGUUGAUACAUUUAUCUUUUACCAGGCAUGCUUUCAUCAUCACAGAGUCACAUCUUCCGGAAACGUCAUUGAUCUCGGUUGCCAAUCUUUGACGGCGUGUUUCGCUGCUAGUGGUGGUACUGAGGUUGUCGGACGUUCUGUAAAACAAACACGUCAGGCGGGUCUUUCUGAUUGUUCGGAGUGCUGUUCGACAGACGAAUGCAAUGACCAACUUUGCCUGCACAAGGCCCGUAAGUCAUAUCAGAAUAAC